rnacentral:rRNA from 1 species
UACGUAGGGUGCGAGCGUUAAUCGGAAUACUGGGCGUAAAGCGUGCGCAGGCGGUGAUGUAAGACAGAUGUGAAAUCCCCGGGCUCAACCUGGGAACUGCAUUUGUGACUGCAUCGCUGGAGUGCGGCAGAGGGGGAUGGAAUUCCGCGUGUAGCAGUGAAAUGCGUAGAUAUGCGGAGGAACACCGAUGGCGAAGGCAAUCCCCUGGGCCUGCACUGACGCUCAUGCCACGAAAGCGUGGGGAGCGAAACAAGG